CUGCAGCAGGACCAGGCUGCUGGGGGACCAGGCCAGGCUGUGAGGGAUGUGAGGGAUGUGUGGGGGUGUGGGUGUGGGUGUAGGUUCAUGGGUGUCAGGAGUUAAGCCCAGCCCAGCAGACAUUCACUUAUACACACUCCACAAGUGGGAUGGAGGGGGGAGGAUUGGAAAGAAGGCAAAACCUGUGGGUUUACAUAAAACCAGCUUAAUAAUUGAAAUAAAAUUAAAUAUUAUCAUCAUCAUCAUCCAACUGUAAUGAGAAGGGAGAUACAAAAGAGAGACAGGAAUAAACUCCAAGAAAGGCGAGUGAUGCACACAAUACAGUCACUGACCACUUGCUGGCAGUUGUUCAGCCUGUCCCCAGCAGUGAUCAAUGACCCCGGCCAGCUCCCCCAGUUCCCAUACUGGGCAGGACACUGUGGCAUCCCUUUGGCCAGUUCAGGUUGGCUGUCCUGGCCGUGCUCUGUCCUGGCUCCCUGUGCACCCGCUCGCUGGCAGAGCAUGGGACACUGAACAGCCUUGGGGUGAGCCCUGCUCAGCAUCAGCUACAGCACUGUGAGCAACACCAUCCUCACACCGAACCCAACACACGGCCCUGCACCUGACACUGGGGAGAGAAUGAACUCCAUCCCAGACCAAACCAGUGUGUGUGGGUGUGUGCGGGUGUGUGGGUGUGUGAGGUGUGGCUGUACCCGCACUUGAGUGGGGUGUGUAAUGGGGGGGCGGGGUGUAUGUGUGUGCGGGGCGGGGGUCUCGGGGUGUGUGGGGUGUGUGUCUGUGUGUGGGGUGUGUGUCUCUGUGUGCGGGGUGUGUGUUGCUGUGCGAGGCAGGUGUCUCGACGUGUGGGGUGUGUGUCGGUGUGCGGGGUGUGUUUCUCUCGGCGGGUUGUGGGUCCGUGUGCGGGGUGUGUGUCGGUGUGCGGGGCUGUGUGGGGUGUGUUUCUCUGUGCGGGGUGUGUGUCUCGGUGUGUGCGUGUGCGGGGCGGGUGUCUCUGCGCGAGGGGCGGCGUGUGCCCGUGAGCGGGUGCGGGGGGCGCGGCGUGUGCCCGGGCGCUCCGCUCGCCUUCGCUCCGCUCGCCUCGGCCCCGCUCCGCUCGGCUGGGGCCCGGCUGCCGCCGAGGGACGGGCGGAGGCGGCGGGAGCAGCGCGGGGAGCUCCCGGCGGGGGUUUUUUGGGGAGGCGGUCGCAGCCCUGCCCGCCGGGGCGCGGAGCACGAUGCGGCGGCCGCCCUGCCCUGCCCGCCGGCGGCGCGGAGCCGCGGGGCCGCGGGCAGCGGCGUAGGGACCGGCCGGGCAGCGGGCGGGCGGAAUGGGGGCGGCCGCGCCCCGCGGCGCUGGGCGCCCGGCGGAUCGCGGAUGAGCCCCGGGCCCGCGGGCACCCCGGCGGGUACCGCCUGACGGAGCGGCGCGGAGCUGGAACACCCCCUCUUGCAAGGAGAAGGGCUGACAGAGGAGUGGAUGAGUUCCUUGCCCUGGGAUCUGUAGGAUGGGCAGUGGCAGCCGCAUCCCUGGCUCACUGUGGGGAGAAAGAAAGUACUUGUGCUCACACAGAGCCAAAGAGGUGAGCAGCUGACUUUGCAGUACCUAAAAUCAGGGCAUGGCUGCUGUCUGUAGUUUUCCGUGCUUGCCUGGGUAGAGCGUGGCUGUUUGGCUCUGUUCUGCAGAGAGCAGUGCUUGUGAUUGUCAGAGGUGCUUGCUGGUGGUAAAAU
rnacentral:lncRNA from 13 species